ACGUCUUCCGUCUGACAUCUUGCUGCUACACUUUUUAAAACUAGCUAACUAGCUACUUCUGCUACUCAUUUAGCAUUUCACUACAAGUUACACUGUUAAGAGGUAUGUUUAUUUCUUGCUAAUGCUACUAUUUCGGGACUUAUAAAGGAUGCAUUAUGCGCAGUUAGUGUUAGUCCCAACUCUAAACUGGAACAAGAGUUUCACAUGUCUUUUGGGCCUUCACCACCAUCUCGAACCAACUUCACUGAGAGUUCAACUGCUUCCCUUCUGUAAGUAAGGUCAGCAACAAUAAGAUGGGAGACUCACCACAGCGGAGACGAGGGGUCGACAUGACAGAGAGGGUAACCUGUGGACCCUCUUCACCUUGCUCCUAAAUGCUGACGGUGUUUCCCCAGUUUAAGACGUCUAUCAACUUUUCAAAUUCAACUGAACCCACCGACUGUCUCCUCCUCUCCCCCCUUCAUCGCUCCUCGUUCAUCCCCCUGCUCCCCCCUCACUCCAAUCCCAAGGGCAAGCCAAAAGCUGACAGCUUUGUUUGUGUUCGCCACUAAGUGAUUUUUAAUCAACUGGUCUGCAUGAGUCCUCCCAAGGGCCGGAGCGGCAGAGGCUGUGAGAGAUUGAGCGGAGGGCUGCUGGAUGCCUGGCGGGAGAUAGCGGAGGUGAGAAGAGCAGCAGACCGCCACAGUGAGCGGCUGAUUUUUGAAAACCAGCUUAUGUCUAAAAAUCUAAACGCGUGUGGAGCGGCGUUUUGGCCUGAAAUAAAACUAAGGCUUUAGCAACCUCUCUGCCCUUAAUGAAGAACCAGACUGUGUGCAUUUCCCAGUUCCAAUCUUUCCUACAGCUGUCUACCAAUACAUAUAGAUUCACCCAGUGCAUGAAGUUGCCCCAAAAAAACAACUAAAACAACUAGCUCUCCAUUUAAAGAAAAAUAAUCACAUUUAUGUCAUGAUCAAAUAUUGUAUAAAUGUUUAUAAAAUUAGUCAAUAAUAACAAUUAUUUAGCCAUUAAAUAUUAAAAAACAAUGAGUAUUUUCUGGUUGUCUUCUUCUCUAUCCAUUCUAAAAUUCCUGAAAAAAUAAGAAAUGUUCAUCAAUAAUUUUUGAAGGACUGUUAGACGCUGGCCUCCAGUUUUCCAGGCAGCGUCUAACAGUCCUUCAGUAUGGCAGCCCAGGCACCGGGCGUACAGCGAAGUAGUGUUGCUAUUUCGUCUCUCCACAAUCUAAAAGUAAUUUUCAAUAUUAAAUGUUUUAUUAUUUCCCAUUCCAAUAUAUCAUCUGAAUUAAGAAAAUGUCGCCAUGAAUGCUUGAUGUACAAUCUGGUUAUCCCUGUGUAAACGUUCGGACUGCUUUAAACCACAGAACGGAUUUGGGUUCUUUAUAUAUUCUAAAUGUCUUCCCAUUCACUUAAUGUAAU